rnacentral:rRNA from 1 species
CUACGGGGGGCUGCAGUGGGGAAUAUUGGACAAUGGGCGCAAGCCUGAUCCAGCAAUGCCGCGUGAGUGAAGACGGCCUUAGGGUUGUAAAACUCUUUCGCUAGGGAAGAUAAUGACUGUACCUAGUAAAGAAGUCCCGGCUAACUCCGUGCCAGCAGCCGCGGUAAUACGGAGGGGACUAGCGUUGUUCGGAAUUACUGGGCGUAAAGAGUUCGUAGGCGGACUGACAAGUUAGAGGUGAAAUCCCAGGGCUCAACCCUGGAACUGCCUUUAAAACUGUCAGUCUAGAGACCGGAAGAGGUUAGGGGAAUACCUAGUGUAGAGGUGAAAUUCGUAGAUAUUAGGUGGAACACCAGUGGCGAAGGCGCCUAACUGGUCCGGUACUGACGCUGAGGAACGAAAGCGUGGGGAGCAAACAGGAUUAGAUACCCUGGUAGUC